rnacentral:rRNA from 1 species
CGGCGGACGGGUGAGUAACACGUGGAUAACCUACCUAUAAGACUGGGAUAACUUCGGGAAACCGGAGCUAAUACCGGAUAAUAUAUUGAACCGCAUGGUUCAAUGGUGAAAGACGGUUUUGCUGUCACUUAUAGAUGGAUCCGCGCCGCAUUAGCUAGUUGGUAAGGUAACGGCUUACCAAGGCAACGAUGCGUAGCCGACCUGAGGGGGUGAUCGGCCACACUGGAACUGAGACACGGUCCAGACUCCUACGGGAGGCAGCAGAC